GACGAACGCUGGCGGCGUGCUUAACACAUGCAAGUCGAACGGAAAGGCCCUGCUCUUGUGGGGUGCUCGAGUGGCGAACGGGUGAGUAACACGUGAGUAACCUGCCCCUGACUUUGGGAUAACUUCUGGAAACUGGGGCGAAUACCGGAUAGGAGCUCCUGCUGCAUGGUGGGGGUUGGAAAGAUUCGGCGGUUGGGGAUGGACUCGCGGCUUAUCCGCUUGUUGGUGGGGUAGUGGCUUACCAAGGCUUUGACGGGUAGCCGGCCUGAGAGGGUGCCCGGCCACAUUGGGCCUGAGAUACGCCCCAGACUCCUACGGGCGGCGGCAGUGGAGAAUAUUGCACAAUAGGCGGAAGCCUGAUGCAGCAACGCCGCGUGCGGGAUGACGGCCUUCGGGUUGUAAACCGCUUUCGCAUGUGACGAAGCGUGAGUGACGGUAAUGGGUAAGGAAGCACCGGCUAACUACGUG
rnacentral:rRNA from 1 species